rnacentral:lncRNA from 1 species
GACAGUAGAGCAUCAUUUAUUCAAUCAAUCAAUCAAUCAAUCAACCAAUCAAUCAACCAACCAAUCACUCUACGUUGCAAUUGGUGUUUUGUUUUUUUCUUUUUUUGAGAUAGGGUCUCACUAUGUAGCCUUGGCUGGUCUGGAACUUGGUAUGUAGACCAGGCUGGCCUCAUCCAGAUCUCCAUGUCUUUCUUCCUGCCUCCUGAGUGCUGGGAUUAAAAGUGUGCACUGCCAUUGUUUGACUAGAAACCUGGCCCCAAAGACUCCAAUAAACAUGUUGCUGGUACUGUAUGGCCAGUGCCAAACCCAGUGACCCUCAGUCCGCAUCCGCAGCAUUAGAACUGAGUUCUCUGUGUGAUACUGUCUUGGUGACUGUGAGGAAAUUUGGAGAGAAUCAGCCAAUUGGAGAAGAUACUGGUCAUAGCUGUCACAUCCCAAUAGACAUUUUCUCAGUUACACGUUCAUCUCAAAGGACUGAAGGAAGCAGCAGAGAGAUGGUCCAGUUCUCAGAUGGCCUUCAGACUCAUCUUCUCCCAGGGUCCCCCCGCCCCCUCCAGCCUAUCAUACUGUGCUCAGCUGUCUAACACACUUCCCAUUGGUGUUUCCAUAGCUUUGGCCCCCUUGGGCCAUCGAGGAGAAGUCUGCCUGACCCAGCGAGAAGUCUGCUUGACACUCUUGACGGUCUUGAAAGGUGUGGUAAAAAAAAGCCCUUGGAGCAUCUCCCUGUCAGCCAGGCCAGAGCAACAGGUACUGUGGGCUUUAAACAA